AAUCCAUAUCUAAUCUGUCUAAUAGCUAUCUAAUCUCGGAAGCUGUUUACUUUCACAGACUGACAGCCAUGCUUCUUCUGUCACCGAGUGAAGACAGAAACAGCUGUGAUCAUCUUCAGUUUUUUUUAUUCCCCUGACAGAAUUUCCUACACUAUCUAAGAAUACGAGAGAAAAGCGAAUAAAGAAGUUGGCUAGCUCGAUGCUACAGCUGCUAAAUAAGCUAACUAAACUCACCGAGCGCCCGUUUGAAGUCGGCGGAAGGCUGCGGAGACUGAAAAUCUGUCCAGGAUGUACUUCUCCUCUUGAGACAACAACUGGAUAGGUGUGAGGCUUCCUAAGACCCUGAACUGGGAUUCCUGAGCGUGAGUGUUUGGCAGAGUGGCGUGGCGUGUCAGAAGUGGAGCGUGUGCUGUGGCUGAAGUGGAGCGUGGUGUGUGGAUCGACAGUCAAGAGUGAUGUCCCUCUACCCCCCUUUCUGUGGAUCCCUGGAACCCUUGACUCCCCCACAUCUGUAUAUAACUCACUUGGUGUUUGUAAAUAAACCUUCAAUGCAUUUUCUCCCUGAGUCCACACCUGAGUCAGUUCAGUCUGCCUUAACAAGUAUAAACAGGAAAGAAUAAUUUAGGAGUCUUAUAAGUUUUAUAAUAACGACUCAUGUUUUACAGAUACCUUUACUUUAGACCCUAGUUUUAGCCUCAGACCUUUUUGACUGAUGCCAACAAAUACUAAUGCUACCCUUUGAUUUAGGUUAAAUAAGGAAAGACUGCUAGUUACCAGCAUAGACUAGUUUGCUGGUUAACAGACUACAGUGAUAAGGUUAUUGAAAAGUAAAUUUCACCUAAGCACAUUUGCUAUUAUGUCCAUGUUGUAGCACAUAAAAAUAUUUAGUUAAUACUUGCAGACAUACAUCCAACGCCUUUGUGUAACCGUGGCUUUACUCUAACCUUUGUUGCUGACCUGGUCAUUUAAAGGAUGCAACAUAUUUUUGUGUUGAGCUGAUGUGGUUAAAUCCCAAGUAUAUCACGAUUCAAGUCUUAUACAAGUCCAGUGUUGGUGUUUAGAGCUGUUGUAACAAUAUAUAAGUAGUAUCCCCAUAAGACAUGUCUAUAUCAAGUUUUUAACCUUACAAUAAGCAGAGAUAUUUUUAUGUA